rnacentral:rRNA from 1 species
AUGAACGCUGGCGGCGUGCCUAAUACAUGCCAGUCGAGCGAACAGACGAGGAGCUUGCUCCUCUGACGUUAGCGGCGGACGGGUGAGUAACACGUGGAUAACCUACCUAUAAGACUGGGAUAACUUCGGGAAACCGGAGCUAAUACCGGAUAAUAUAUUGAACCGCAUGGUUCAAUAGUGAAAGACGGUUUUGCUGUCACUUAUAGAUGGAUCCGCGCCGCAUUAGCUAGUUGGUAAGGCAACGGCUUACCAAGGCAACGAUGCGUAGCCGACCUGAGAGGGUGAUCGGCCACACUGGAACUGAGACACGGUCCAGACUCCUACGGGAGGCAGCAGUAGGGAAUCUUCCGCAAUGGGCGAAAGCUUGACGGAGCAACGCCGCGUGAGUGAUGAAGGUCUUCGGAUCGUAAAACUCUGUUAUUAGGGAAGAACAAAUGUGUAAGUAACUAUGCACGUCUUGACGGUACCUAAUCAGAAAGCCACGGCUAACUACGUG